rnacentral:rRNA from 1 species
UCCUGCCGGAGGCCACUGCUAUGGGGGUCCGACUAAGCCAUGCGAGUCAUGGGGCGCGCUCUGCGCGCACCGGCGGACGGCUCAGUAACACGUCGGUAACCUACCCUCGGGAGGGGGAUAACCCCGGGAAACUGGGGCUAAUCCCCCAUAGGCCUGAGGUACUGGAAGGUCCUCAGGCCGAAAGGGGCAUCUGCCCGCCCGAGGAUGGGCCGGCGGCCGAUUAGGUAGUUGGUGGGGUAACGGCCCACCAAGCCGAAGAUCGGUACGGGCCAUGAGAGUGGGAGCCCGGAGAUGGACACUGAGACACGGGUCCAGGCCCUACGGGGCGCAGCAGGCGCGAAACCUCCGCAAUGCGGGCAACCGCGACGGGGGGACCCCCAGUGCCGUGGCAUCGCCACGGCUUUUCCGGAGUGUAAAAAGCUCCGGGAAUAAGGGCUGGGCAAGGCCGGUGGCAGCCGCCGCGGUAAUACCGGCGGCCCGAGUGGUGGCCGCUAUUAUUGGGCCUAAAGCGUCCGUAGCCGGGCCCGUAAGUCCCUGGCGAAAUCCCACGGCUCAACCGUGGGGCUUGCUGGGGAUACUGCGGGCCUUGGGACCGGGAGAGGCCGGGGGUACCCCUGGGGUAGGGGUGAAAUCCUAUAAUCCCAGGGGGACCGCCAGUGGCGAAGGCGCCC